rnacentral:piRNA from 1 species
UCCCAGAAGAAUGAUGGUAUCAUGGUACGC